UGUAGAUGAUGAACUCCUUAUAUUUUCUGACACCUCGUAUGAGUGCAAAAUGCACUUGGUGAUUUUAAGGCAAACGUCUGACUACAU